UAGGGAAUCUUCGGCAAUGGACGAAAGUCUGACCGAGCAACGCCGCGUGAGUGAAGAAGGUUUUCGGAUCGUAAAACUCUGUUGUUAGAGAAGAACAAGGACGUUAGUAACUGAACGUCCCCUGACGGUAUCUAACCAGAAAGCCACGGCUAACUACGUGCCAGCAGCCGCGGUAAUACGUAGGUGGCAAGCGUUGUCCGGAUUUAUUGGGCGUAAAGCGAGCGCAGGCGGUUUCUUAAGUCUGAUGUGAAAGCCCCCGGCUCAACCGGGGAGGGUCAUUGGAAACUGGGAGACUUAAGUGCAGAAGAGGAGAGUGGAAUUCCAGGUGUAGCGGUGAAUUGCGUAGAUAUAUGGAGGAACACCAGUGGCGAAGGCGGCUCUCUGGUCUGUAACUGACGCUGAGGCUCGAAAGCGUGGGGAGCAAACAGG
rnacentral:rRNA from 1 species